rnacentral:rRNA from 1 species
AUCAUACCAGCACUAAAACACCGGAUCCCAUCCGAACUCCGAAGUUAAGCUAGCGGGCCCCCGUGUAAAAGCGGGGUGGGUACUC